UACGUAGGGGGCAAGCGUUGUCCGGAUUCAUUGGGCGUAAAGAGCGUGUAGGCGGCCAGGUAGGUCGGUUGUGAAAACCUGGAGGGCUCAACCUUCAGAGGUCGACCGAAACCAUCUGGCUAGAGUCCGGGAGAGGAGAGUGGAAUUCCGUGGUGUAGCGGUGAAAUGCGCAGAUAUCAGGAAGAACACCCGUGGCGAAAGCGGCUCUCUGGAACGGUACUGACGCUGAGACGCGAAAGCGUGGGGAGCGAACAGG
rnacentral:rRNA from 1 species